rnacentral:rRNA from 1 species
GAUGAACGCUGGCGGCGUGCCUAAUACAUGCAAGUCGAGCGAACAGACGAGGAGCUUGCUCCUCUGACGUUAGCGGCGGACGGGUGAGUAACACGUGGAUAACCUACCUAUAAGACUGGGAUAACUUCGGGAAACCGGAGCUAAUACCGGAUAAUAUAUUGAACCGCAUGGUUCAAUAGUGGAAGACGGUUUUGCUGUCACUUAUAGAUGGAUCCGCGCCGCAUUAGCUAAUUGGUAAGGUAACGGCUUACCAAGGCAACGAUGCGUAGCCGACCUGAGAGGGUGAUCGGCCACACUGGAACUGAGACACGGUCCAGACUCCUACGGGAGGAAGCAGUAGGGAAUCUUCCGCAAUGGGCGAAAGCCUGACGGAGCAACGCCGCGUGAGUGAUGAAGGUCUUCGGAUCGUAAAACUCUGUUAUUAGGGAAGAACAAAUGUGUAAGUAACUAUGCACGUCUUGACGGUACCUAAUCAGAAAGCCACGGCUAACUACGUG